rnacentral:rRNA from 1 species
GGACCCGCACAAGCGGUGGAGCAUGUGGUUUAAUUCGAUGCAACGACGAAAAACCUUACCUACUCUUGACAUACUUGGAAGCUCUUGUAAUGAGAGUGUGUCCUUUUGGAGCCAAGAUACAGGUGCUGCAUGGCUGUCGUCAGCUCGUGUCGUGAGAUGUUCCGUUAAGUCGGAUAACGAGCGCAACCCUUACCCUUAUUUGCCAGCGAUUCGGGUCGGGAACUAGUAAGGGGACUGCCGGUGAUAAACCGGAGGAAGGUGAGGACGACGUCAAGUCAUCAUGGCCCUUACGAGUAGGGCUACACACGUGCUACAAUGGGGAAUACAGACGGACGCUAAGCCGCGAGGUGGUGCUAAUCCUAGAAAAUUCUUCGUAGUCCGGAUUGGAGUCUGCAACUCGACUCCAUGAAGUCGGAAUCGCUAGUAAUCG